GGGGGGGGCAAGCGUUGUUCGGAAUUACUGGGCGUAAAGGGCUCGUAGGUGGCCAACUAAGUCAGACGUGAAAUCCCUCGGCUUAACCGGGGAACUGCGUCUGAUACUGGAUGGCUUGAGUUCGGGAGAGGGAUGCGGAAUUCCAGGUGUAGCGGUGAAAUGCGUAGAUAUCUGGAGGAACACCGGUGGCGAAGGCGGCAUCCUGGACCGACACUGACACUGAGGAGCGAAAGCCAGGGGAGCAAACGGGAUUAGAUACCCCGGUAGUCCUGGCCCUAAACGAUGAAUGCUUGGUGUGGCGGGUAUCGAUCCCUGCCGUGCCGAAGCUAGCGCAUUAAGCAUUCCGCCUGGGGAGUACGGUCGCAAGGCUG
rnacentral:rRNA from 1 species